UGGCUGGGGGUGAAAGGCCAAUCAAACCGGGAGAUAGCUGGUUCUCCCCGAAAGCUAUUUAGGUAGCGCCUCGUGAACUCAUCUUCGGGGGUAGAGCACUGUUUCGGCUAGGGGGCCAUCCCGGCUUACCAACCCGAUGCAAACUACGAAUACCGAAGAAUGUUAUCACGGGAGACACACGGCGGGUGCUAACGUCCGUCGUGAAGAGGGAAACAACCCAGACCGCCAGCUAAGGUCCCAAAGUCAUGGUUAAGUGGGAAACGAUGUGGGAAGGCACAGACAGCCAGGAUGUUGGCUUAGAAGCAGCCAUCAUUUAAAGAAAGCGUAAUAGCUCACUGGUCGAGUCGGCCUGCGCGGAAGAUGUAACGGGGCUAAACCAUGCACCGAAGCUGCGGCAGCGACACUAUGUGUUGUUGGGUAGGGGAGCGUUCUGUAAGCCGUUGAAGGUGUGCUGUGAGGCAUGCUGGAGGUAUCAGAAGUGCGAAUGCUGACAUAAGUAACGAUAAAGCGGGUGAAAAGCCCGCUCGCCGGAAGACCAAGGGUUCCUGUCCAACGUUAAUCGGGGCAGGGUGAGUCGACCCCUAAGGCGAGGCCGAAAGGCGUAGUCGAUGGGAAACAGGUUAAUAUUCCUGUACUUGGUGUUACUGCGAAGGGGGGACGGAGAAGGCUAUGUCAGCCGGGCGACGGUUGUCCCGGUUUAAGCAUGUAGGCGGAGGUUCCAGGUAAAUCCGGUACCUUAUUAACGCUGAGGUGUGAUGACGAGGCACUACGGUGCUGAAGUGAUAAAUGCCCUGCUUCCAGGAAAAGCCUCUAAGCAUCAGGUAACACGAAAUCGUACCCCAAACCGACACAGGUGGUCAGGUAGAGAAUACCAAGGCGCUUGAGAGAACUCGGGUGAAGGAACUAGGCAAAAUGGUGCCGUAACUUCGGGAGAAGGCACGCUGAUAUGUAGGUGAAGCCCCUGCGGGCGGAGCUGAAAUCAGUCGAAGAUACCAGCUGGCUGCAACUGUUUAUUAAAAACACAGCACUGUGCAAACACGAAAGUGGACGUAUACGGUGUGACGCCUGCCCGGUGCCGGAAGGUUAAUUGAUGGGGUUAGCGGCAACGCGAAGCUCUUGAUCGAAGCCCCGGUAAACGGCGGCCGUAACUAUAACGGUCCUAAGGUAGCGAAAUUCCUUGUCGGGUAAGUUCCGACCUGCACGAAUGGCGUAAUGAUGGCCAGGCUGUCUCCACCCGAGACUCAGUGAAAUUGAACUCGCUGUGAAGAUGCAGUGUACCCGCGGCAAGACGGAAAGACCCCGUGAACCUUUACUAUAGCUUGACACUGAACACUGGUCCUUGAUGUGUAGGAUAGGUGGGAGGCUUUGAAGCGUGGACGCCAGUCUGCGUGGAGCCGCCCUUGAAAUACCACCCUUUAAUGGCUGGUGUUCUAACGUAGACCCGUAAUCCGGGUUGCGGACAGUGUCUGGUGGGUAGUUUGACUGGGGCGGUCUCCUCCCAAAGAGUAACGGAGGAGCACGAAGGUUGGCUAAUCCUGGUCGGACAUCAGGAGGUUAGUGCAAUGGCAUAAGCCAGCUUGACUGCGAGCGUGACGGCGCGAGCAGGUGCGAAAGCAGGUCAUAGUGAUCCGGUGGUUCUGAAUGGAAGGGCCAUCGCUCAACGGAUAAAAGGUACUCCGGGGAUAACAGGCUGAUACCGCCCAAGAGUUCAUAUCGACGGCGGUGUUUGGCACCUCGAUGUCGGCUCAUCACAUCCUGGGGCUGAAGUAGGUCCCAAGGGUAUGGCUGUUCGCCAUUUAAAGUGGUACGCGAGCUGGGUUUAGAACGUCGUGAGACAGUUCGGUCCCUAUCUGCCGUGGGCGCUGGAGAAUUGAGGGGGGCUGCUCCUAGUACGAGAGGACCGGAGUGGACGCAUCACUGGUGUUCGGGUUGUCAUGCCAAUGGCACUGCCCGGUAGCUAAAUGCGGAAGAGAUAAGUGCUGAAAGCAUCUAAGCACGAAACUUGCCCCGAGAUGAGUUCUCCCUGAGACUUUAAGUCUCCUGAAGGAACGUUGAAGACGACGACGUUGAUAGGUCGGGUGUGUAAGCGCAGCGAUGCGUUGAGCUAACCGAUACUAAUGAACCGUGAGGCUUAACCUU
rnacentral:rRNA from 2 species